rnacentral:rRNA from 1 species
UACGUAGGGGGCUAGCGUUGUCCGGAAUCAUUGGGCGUAAAGAGCGUGUAGGCGGCCCGGUAAGUCCGCUGUGAAAGUCGGGGGCUCAACCCUCGAAAGCCGGUGGAUACUGUCGGGCUAGAGUACGGAAGAGGCGAGUGGAAUUCCCGGUGUAGCGGUGAAAUGCGCAGAUAUCGGGAGGAACACCAAUGGCGAAGGCAGCUCGCUGGGACGUGACUGACGCUGAGACGCGAAAGCGUGGGGAGCAAACAGG